rnacentral:rRNA from 1 species
UGGGGUAAUUUUUCCGCAAUGGGCGAAAGCCUGACGGAGCAAUGCCGCGUGGAGGUGGAAGGCCUACGGGUCGUCAACUUCUUUUCUCGGAGAAGAAACAAUGACGGUAUCUGAGGAAUAAGCAUCGGCUAACUCUGCGCCAG